UACGUAGGGGGCAAGCGUUGUCCGGAUUUAUUGGGCGUAAAGAGCGUGUAGGCGGCCAAGCAGGUCCGCUGUGAAAACUCGAGGCUCAACCUCGAGACGUCGGUGGAAACCGUUUGGCUAGAGUCCGGAAGAGGAGAGUGGAAUUCCCGGUGUAGCGGUGAAAUGCGCAGAUAUCGGAAGGAACACCUGUGGCGAAAGCGGCUCACUGGACCAUUACUGACGCUGAGGCACGAAGGCUAGGGGAGCAAACAGG
rnacentral:rRNA from 1 species